rnacentral:rRNA from 1 species
GUCUUUUUGAUUAUAAUUUAAAGUCUAACCUGCCCACUGAAAUUUUUGAAGGGCCGCGGUAUUUUGACUGUGCAAAGGUAGCAUAAUCAUUAGUCUUUUAAUUGGAGGCUUGUAUGAAUGGUUGGAUGAGGUAUUAACUGUCUCAAUUUAAUAAAUAAUAGAAUUUUAUUUUUAAGUUAAAAAGCUUAAAUUUUAUUAAAAGACGAGAAGACCCUAUAGAUCUUUAUAAUUAAAUUUAUAAUAAUUUUUUAGGUUAAAUUUAUUUUUAUAUAAAUAAUUAUUAUAUUGGGGUGAUAGAAAAAUUUAUAAAACUUUUUUUGUAAAUAGACAAUAAUAUUUGAUUAAUUGAUCCAUUUUUUGUGAUUAUAAGAUUAAGUUACCUUAGGGAUAACAGCGUAAUUUUUUUGGAGAGUUCUUAUCGAUAAAAAAGAUUGCGACCUCGAUGUUGAAUUAAAGGUUAAUUUUAGGUGUAGAAGUUUAAAAUUUUGGUCUGUUCGACCAUUGAAUC